rnacentral:rRNA from 1 species
AAUCAUUUGUCUUUUAAAUGAAGACUUGUAUGAACGGCAAAACCUCCUCCAACUGUCUCCCCUCCCAUCCUUCCAAAUUUCCUCCUGCGUGAAGAAGCGCAGAUACACCAGAAAGACGAGAAGACCCUGUCGAGCUUUAACCACUAAGUGGGCCUUACCCUUUCAGGCACCACCCAAAGGUUUUGGUUGGGGCAACCACGGAGAAAAAACAUCCUCCAGAACGAAUAGAAGAAAGCUUUUCACUAUUAUUACGACUAAGAACCAGGAACUGGUAUUCGGAAAGAGUUACCGCAGGGAUAACAGCGUCAUCUCCUCUAAGAGUCCUUAUUGACNAGGAGGUUUGCGACCUCGAUGUUGGAUUGGGGCCCCCUUAGGGUGCAGAAGCUCUAAACGGUUAGACUGUUCGUCUAUUAAAGCCCUACAUGAUCUGAGUUCAAACCGGAG